rnacentral:rRNA from 1 species
AUGAAGACCCUGGGCCAGAGUGGCGACGAAGACCCAGCACCGCGACGGCGACCAAAAUUGUCCGCGGCGACGGCGGCCAAGGCGGACCAAAUCGAGGACCUAGUCGUCGAUUUACUGCUUCUUGGCACGAUUCAGAGGGAGGUGACGAAGAGGAAGAACUUUAGAAGCAAUCCCGCUGCUCAGGUAGGCGAGGGCACACCCAUGGCGGCUGCGCGCAGCUGGGCGGCGGCGCAAGGCGCCUCCGUGGAGGUUCUGCGCGUCUCCUCCGCGACGACACAGGUCGUCUCCUGCACAGGCGGCUGGGUCCUGCAACACGCGGAGACUCUCUCUGGGUGCUGA